rnacentral:rRNA from 1 species
AGAGUUUGAUCCUGGCUCAGAUUGAACGCUGGCGGAAUGCUUUACACAUGCAAGUCGAACGGCAGCACGGGGGCAACCCUGGUGGCGAGUGGCGAACGGGUGAGUAAUACAUCGGAACGUGCCCAGUCGUGGGGGAUAACGUAGCGAAAGCUACGCUAAUACCGCAUACGAUCUACGGAUGAAAGCGGGGGAUCGCAAGACCUCGCGCGAUUGGAGCGGCCGAUGGCAGAUUAGGUAGUUGGUGGGGUAAAGGCUCACCAAGCCGACGAUCUGUAGCUGGUCUGAGAGGACGACCAGCCACACUGGGACUGAGACACGGCCCAGACUCCUACGGGAGGCAGCAGUGGGGAAUUUUGGACAAUGGGCGAAAGCCUGAUCCAGCCAUUCCGCGUGCAGGAUGAAGGCCCUCGGGUUGUAAACUGCUUUUGUACGGAACGAAAAGCCUUCUUCUAAUACAAGAGGGUCAUGACGGUACCGUAAGAAUAAGCACCGGCUAACUACGUGCCAGCAGCCGCGGUAAUUCCAGCUCCAAUAGCGUAUAUUAAAAUUGUUGCAGUUAAAAAGCUCGUAGUUGGAUUUCUGGUACGGCGCACUUGGCCCGCCACGGUUACGUGGUUGUGUGCCGGUGUGCGCCUGCCAUCCAUCUGGAGAACGGCAUCGCCCUUUACUGGGUGGGUGUCGGUAUCCAGAUCUUUUACUUUGAAAAAAUUAGAGUGUUUAAAGCAGGCUUGUGCUGUGAAUACAUUAGCAUGGAAUAAUAAUUUAGGACUUUGGUCUUAUUUUGUUGGUUUCUAGGACUAAAGUAAUGAUUGAUAGGGACAGUUGGGGGUGCUAGUAUUCAGCGGCCAGAGGUGAAAUUCUUGGAUUCGCUGAAGACUAACUUAUGCGAAAGCAUUCACCAAGGAUGUCUUCUUUAAUCAAGAACGAAAGUUGGGGGAUCGAAGACGAUCAGAUACCGUCGUAGUCUCAACCAUAAACUAUGCCGACUAGGGAUGAGUGAACGUUGCUUAUUCGACUUCAUUCGCACCUUAUGAGAAAUCAAAGUCUUUGGGUUCCGGGGGGAGUAUGGUCGCAAGGCUGAAACUUAAAGGAAUUGACGGAAGGGCACCACCAGGAGUGGAGCCUGCGGCUUAAUUUGACACAACACGGGAAAACUUACCAGGUCCAGACAUAGUAAGGAUUGACAGAUUGAAAGCUCUUUCUUGAUUGUACGGGUGGUGGUGCAUGGCCGUUCUUAGUUGGUGGAGUGAUCUGUCUGCUUAAUUGCGAUAACGAACGAGACCUUGACCUGCUAAAUAGCCAGGUUGACUUUUGUCGGCCGCCG